rnacentral:rRNA from 1 species
AUAGGUUAAUGAGGCGAACCGGGGGAACUGAAACAUCUAAGUACCCCGAGGAAAAGAAAUCAACCGAGAUUCCCCCAGUAGCGGCGAGCGAACGGGGAGGAGCCCAGAGCCUGAAUCAGUGUGUGUGUUAGUGGAAGCGUCUGGAAAGGCGCGCGAUACAGGGUGACAGCCCCGUACACAAAAAUGCACAUGCUGUGAGCUCGAUGAGUAGGGCGGGACACGUGGUAUCCUGUCUGAAUAUGGGGGGACCAUCCUCCAAGGCUAAAUACUCCUGACUGACCGAUAGUGAACCAGUACCGUGAGGGAAAGGCGAAAAGAACCCCGGCGAGGGGAGUGAAAAAGAACCUGAAACCGUGUACGUACAAGCAGUGGGAGCACGCUUAGGCGUGUGACUGCGUACCUUUUGUAUAAUGGGUCAGCGACUUAUAUUCUGUAGCAAGGUUAACCGAAUAGGGGAGCCGAAGGGAAACCGAGUCUUAACUGGGCGUUAAGUUGCAGGGUAUAGACCCGAAACCCGGUGAUCUAGCCAUGGGCAGGUUGAAGGUUGGGUAACACUAACUGGAGGACCGAACCGACUAAUGUUGAAAAAUUAGCGGAUGACUUGUGGCUGGGGGUGAAAGGCCAAUCAAACCGGGAGAUAGCUGGUUCUCCCCGAAAGCUAUUUAGGUAGCGCCUCGUGAAUUCAUCUCCGGGGGUAGAGCACUGUUUCGGCAAGGGGGUCAUCCCGACUUACCAACCCGAUGCAAACUGCGAAUACCGGAGAAUGUUAUCACGGGAGACACACGGCGGGUGCUAACGUCCGUCGUGAAGAGGGAAACAACCCAGACCGCCAGCUAAGGUCCCAAAGUCAUGGUUAAGUGGGAAACGAUGUGGGAAGGCCCAGACAGCCAGGAUGUUGGCUUAGAAGCAGCCAUCAUUUAAAGAAAGCGUAAUAGCUCACUGGUCGAGUCGGCCUGCGCGGAAGAUGUAACGGGGCUAAACCAUGCAC